rnacentral:SRP_RNA from 1 species
GGCGGGUCUCCCCGCAUCGCAGGGUGGUGAACCUGGUCAGGUCCGGAAGGAAGCAGCCACAGCCAUU